rnacentral:rRNA from 1 species
GUGAGGAAUAUUGGUCAAUGGACGUAAGUCUGAACCAGCCAAGUAGCGUGCAGGACGAAGGCCCUAUGGGUUGUAAACUGCUUUUAUGCGGGGGUAAAGUGAGUGACGUGUCAUUCAUUGCAAGUACCGCAAGAAUAAGGACCGGCUAAUUCCGUGCCAGCAGCCGCGGUAAUACGGAAGGUCCUGGUGUUAUCCGGAUUUAUUGGGUUUAAAGGGAGCGUAGGCCGUCAGGCAAGCGUGUUGUGAAAUGUCGUGGCUCAACCAUGGACUUGCAGCGCGAACUGCCCGACUUGAGUGAGCAGAAAGCAGGCGGAAUUUGUGGUGUAGCGGUGAAAUGCUUAGAUAUCACGAAGAACCCCGAUUGCGAAGGCAGCCUGCUGUAGCGCUACUGACGCUGAAGCUCGAAAGUGCGGGUAUCGAACAGGAUUAGAAACCCGGGUAGUCC